rnacentral:rRNA from 1 species
CGGCGUGCUACACAUGCAGUCGAACGAUGAAAGCUGGAGCUUGCUCUAGCUGGAUUAGUGGCGAACGGGUGAGUAACACGUGAGCAAUCUGCCCUGGACUCUGGGAUAACCCCGAGAAAUCGGAGCUAAUACCGGAUACGACACCUCCCGGCAUCGGGUGGGUGUGGAAAGAAUUUCGGUCCAGGAUGAGCUCGCGGCCUAUCAGCUUGUUGGUGAGGUAACGGCUCACCAAGGCGACGACGGGUAGCCGGCCUGAGAGGGUGACCGGCCACACUGGGACUGAGACACGGCCCAGACUCCUACGGGAGGCAGCAGUGGGGAAUAUUGCACAAUGGGCGCAAGCCUGAUGCAGCAACGCCGCGUGGGGGACGACGGCCUUCGGGUUGUAAACCUCUUUUAGUAGGGAAGAAGCGCAAGUGACGGUACCUACAGAAAAAGCACCGGCUAACUACGUGCCAGCAGCCGCGGUAAUACGUAGGGUGCAAGCGUUGUCCGGAAUUAUUGGGCGUAAAGAGCUCGUAGGCGGUUUGUCGCGUCUGCUGUGAAAAUCCGAGGCUCAACCUCGGACCUGCAGUGGGUACGGGCAAACUAGAGUGCGGUAGGGGAGAUUGGAAUUCCUGGUGUAGCGGUGGAAUGCGCAGAUAUCAGGAGGAACACCAAUGGCGAAGGCAGAUCUCUGGGCCGUAACUGACGCUGAGGAGCGAAAGCGUGGGGAGCGAACAGGAUUAGAUACCCUGGUAGUCCACGCCGUAAACGGUGGGAACUAGAUGUGGGGUCCGUUCC